GAGUUUGAUCGUGGCUCAGAUUGAACGCUGGCGGCAUGCCUUACACAUGCAAGUCGAACGGCAGCACGGGAGCUUGCUCCUGGUGGCGAGUGGCGAACGGGUGAGUAAUGCAUCGGAACGUAUCCUGGAGUGGGGGAUAACGUAGCGAAAGUUACGCUAAUACCGCAUAUUCUGUGAGCAGGAAAGCGGGGGGACCUUCGGGCCUCGCGCUCUUGGAGCGGCCGAUGUCGGAUUAGCUAGUUGGUGAGGUAAAGGCUCACCAAGGCGACGAUCCGUAGCAGGUCUGAGAGGAUGAUCUGCCACACUGGAACUGAGACACGGUCCAGACUCCUACGGGAGGCAGCAGUGGGGAAUUUUGGACAAUGGGGGCAACCCUGAUCCAGCCAUGCCGCGUGAGUGAAGAAGGCCUCGGUU
rnacentral:rRNA from 1 species